GUGAUGAUGACACUCCAUACAAAGUAUGUGUUAGACUGCUGAUCCGGGUGAUGCGAAUCAGAGUCUGAGC